AUCAAUAAGCGAGGAAAAGAAACCAACAGGGAUUGCCCCAGUAAUGGCGAAUGAAGCGGCAAGAGCCCAAAUUUGAAAUCGGGCAACCGAGUUGUAAUUUGGAGACGGGACACUAGAGAGGAGGAAGGCGAUUAAGUGCCUUGGAACAGGCUGCCGUAGAGGGUGAGAGCCCCGUGAAUCGCUGGAGACCGAUCAAUUAGUGCCCGCCGAAGAGUCGAGUUGUUUGGGAAUGCAGCUCUAAGUGGGUGGUAUAUUCCAUCUAAGGCUAAAUAUUAGCGAGAGACCGAUAGCAAACAAGUACAGUGAUGGAAAGAUGAAAAGAACUUUGGAAAGAGAGUGAAAUAGUACGUGAAAUUGUUGAAAGGGAAGGGUAUUUGAUCCGACAUGGUGUUUAGCAGCGGCCCGUUCCUCGUGGAUGGGUGCACCUGGUUUACACUGGGCCAGCAUCGGUUCUGGGAGCCAUAUACGGGGUUCGUGAAUGUGGCCCUUCGAUUCUGUCGGAGGGUGUUAUAGCGCGGACAUCUUGUGGCUAGCCGGGACCGGGGACUGCGGUGACUUGUCACCAAGGAUGCUGGCAGAACGAGCAAAUACCACCCGUCUUGAAACACGG
rnacentral:rRNA from 1 species